AUAUUGCAUGAUGAAUUAAUAUAUAGUCUCGUUCGUAUGAUCUAAUGAUUUAAAGAUUACCGCUUUACUGAUAAACUUAAAUAAUUUAACUUCAAUCAAUUGUUUCAUUAUAUUAUUAUUUAUGAUUCUUUUACUCUUUGCAGAUAACAUACAUAACUUUCCACAUUACAAUUCUCCAGAAACUUAUAUUGACGUGAUGGGAGGUGAAAUUGCAAGACCCUCUUGUUUAUGGACAAUAAAAGACCAACACUCCACUUCCACUUUUUAUGAGAAGGGUCCCACAAAUUGCAGCUUAAAAUAUAUGCCUAGGAUUUCAGAAAAUGAUUUACUGCCAGAAAAGUGGACCCCCAUCUGAAGAUAAACUGCUAGGAAACAUAAGAAAUUUAUGAAAAUGGAUCACUGUAGUAAAUAUCUACUCAUGUAGUUGGAGCUUACAAUAUCAGCCUUAAAAAUAAGUUCCUGUGUUGUGAAGAAUAAGAAAACAAGAUUAUUAUACAACUUAAAGUUUUGGACAUAACCUAUCAAAUACUGAAUGUGUAACAUAAAAAAAAAAACUGGUUCAAUAUGCCUCACAACUGGAAUCAUUGAAUCGACUGUAUAGCUGACAUUCUUAAACAGGCAUGACGAGAGACAAACAAGAAUAUAUAAAACGAAAGAAAGACGUAUGAAAUUAACAUCAUGAUAAGAAAAGUAAGAGGAAGAAAUGUUUGUACUGUUGUGAGCUUAUGACAACAUCAAGUUAAGCAAGUAUCUUUGAUGUUUGGUCUACCUAGUUUGAAAAGCACAGAAAAUAUACCUCGACACACCCAACAUUUUGGCCAAUUGUACAGGUGGCGCCAGAACAUUAACCUGGAAUCUACCACUUAAAUUAUACAAAACAAACUCAUUCAUAUAAAUAUUUAUCAACAGAAAUAAAGUAAAAAAUUUAAUUUA